rnacentral:lncRNA from 1 species
AUACUGCGAGUCCGAUGGCGGCGAUGAUCACCAUCUCUGUACCUGUCUUGUUCAUAUCGCUCCCUACUUCUGCUCUGGUUUCGCCUUCUAUAGUCUCUGUCCUGAUAAUCCUCUCGAUACCUUCACAAAUGGCUAGCACUCAUAUUAAAAAUAAAGAUAAUUCAUUUGAAAUACUAUACCAAUUUUAGUACUAUGAGUAACAGAGCUAUCAUCCCAGCUGAAAAUUUCUUAAGUUAUAUUGUAUAGGUCUAAUUUGGUGCCUUCGUGGUACCAUUUGGGCACUUGAGCAAUAACCAUGAAACACAACACCAUUUUGCAGGGGCCCUUGUAUGCUAUAGCCUAUCACAAAGGUAAUAUGUGCAGCAUACAUUCAUUUUCAUUUCAUAUUUUAUAGUGGAAUAGUAUUCCUUUAAUCCUCUUUAUUUGGCAUUGUAGCAGUUAAACGAGACAACUAGGAGUACAUCUCUACUAAAGUAGUGAAGUGUGCCUAUUCCAUUUAGUGCAAGCAACACUUUUCUUUGUUUAUUGGUUAAUAAGCCUAAACAUGAGCAGUUUGGGAGACAAACAAAUUUAGUACGCAGCAAGAUUCACAAAGUCAAUAAGGGCAUGAGGUCAUAACUAGCUUUUCCUUCAGUGCAUGCAAUUUUGAAACAUCAUACACAAAGGGAACAGAGGGAGUACCAACUAUGUCAUUGUCAAGAUUCAAAUAUGCAGGCUAUUUCUUACCUUGGUCUUGGACUGCGGCUUCUGAAACGACCCCUUGGCUUUGGAUUUUCUUCUGUAAUUCUACCCCUAUGGCUGCAAACACAAACAAGAAGGCAAUGCUUAAUAAGUGAAAUUGCUUUUAGUGUUUUGCCAUUCUCUGAGUUGUAUUGAUGCACUUAAUAGAUAGUAAAAUGAUAGUAUCAACAUAUUUUACAUGAUAGCAAGCGACAUUCUUGAUUAUUGUAAUGGGUGUUUUCUUAGAAAAGAAACAAUAUGAGUUAAACAGGCCAUGUAAUGUGACUUUUGCCCUCUGCUAGAUGUGUAAACAAGUAAUUUGGGUUUGUAUGUCUAAUAGAAACACUCUUACUUGCCAUUUCUAAACUUCAUUCAGACAUAUACAAGUAGAGUCAAAGUUCUUACUUGCCCAUCUAAUAGAUUUCAGUAUUAGAUGGGCAAAUGCAGUAGCAUUUAGAUUACACAAGAAUUUAGAACUUGGUAAUUUUUGUUACCAUAAUUUUAGUCUAGGACAUGAAAAAUCAGGAAUAUAUUUUUAUUGGAGUGCAAGUUGAGAUAUCAGAAGACAUGCAACUGGUGCUUGCAGAUUCUCUCAUGCAGCUGUAUGCAGCUGCUGCAUUUUGGCUUUAAUAGGUGAGACAAGAAUGUGUCUCUUCCGGCCCCCGUGAAAUAUAGUUAUUACUUAUGACUGUUUAGCUAGCUCCAUGCUCUUAGUUUUAUUGGGCAGCUUCAUUUCUGCAAUGCAGCAUCUCAGUUAAAGCAAGUAUCAAUCAUCCAGUUAAUUCUUGUCAAUUGGGACUUAUGAAUUAUGAUAGUUUUAAAAAGCUAUCUCCUAUUCUCAUUUCCAAGACUGGUGUAUUUGUACAGGGAAACAUAAGUUUAGUCACAUUCAAUAUUUCAUGAACACGUAGACUUGUGUCGAUUUCAUGUACAACUCUGUUUGGCAUGCCAUUUUCCCUGUGUUGAUUUUGGGAAGAAAGCAAAUUCUUCUGCUACUUGCAUAGUUAGAAGAUACUAGAUACCAAUUGUUUAAUUUGCCUUAUGGCCGUUUGGGCAGCUGCACAAGCAAUUCCUGAGGAUCUCCUUUCUCUCAAGAGAGAGCAACUCGUCUGCUUCUUUAUGGGAAAGCCAGAUUUAUCCGGGCAUUAGGGGUCAGCCAUUGGUUGUAAUGAACAAGGACUAUGUGGCAGCAAUACUAUUUUUCUCUUCAAUUCUAAUAAUAUGUGUAUUUCUGCAAUUUGUUUAAUUUUUCUUUAUUUUAGUACUGCAGUUUUAGGGCAUGUUUUUAAUUUUUGAACGUUGUCAUUCUAGAUAGUAAAUUUGCUUCUUGGUGGAUUAUUUAUUGGUGAGCGCUAGGGGUACAUUUUAGAUUGGAUUCUUUGUCAUUCCACAGUUUAGCUUAAGCGUGCUGACAAUUCUCAGUUAAGUUGUCGUAACAUUCAAGGUUCAGCUGACAUGCACACUACAACAUAUAUUUAGCUUAAAUUACCCCCUAUCUGUUGCUAUCAUGGGCUCAUGGCUGCACAACCACCACAGUACACAUUAUAUAAAUGAUGGUCAGUAUACUUGCUUUGUCUACAGUUGAUAUGAAUUUGUCUGCCUUUUAGUAUGUAUCUGUAAAAUUUUUGUUUCAUGUUUGUUUUUCUGCUUACCAGGGAAGGGGAAGAUACAAUGUUUACUUCCUUAUGAUUGUUGCCCAAAUUUCUCUACUGUAAACACUACACAGCAGAAGGUGAUCCAUAGCUUCCGGCGCCUGGUCAU